ACAGCCUCACUUAGUGCUUUCUGCACACUCAUGUCCGUGCUAGUCCCCACUUGUUCACGCCCAGGUAUGGGGCCAUUUCAUAAAUAAAUAAAAUGAAAGGGAAUGCUAAUUAAAAUAACUAUAAUUUCAUCAAUCUUUCUCACAUAACGUUAGGUAGAAAACCAGAAAAUACCUCCCAUGCUGCUUGCUUUUUGCCCACCCUUUGUACCCUCUAUUUGCCCAUCCUCUAGAAACCUUUGAAGUGGCAUUGUUUUCUCCACAUGAAUAAAAACCCAAGUACCUAGUCCAACACCGCAUCACUCACACUCUCUCAAACACUCUUCUUAUUCUUCAACUGCAUCUCAAACCUCUCUCUCUGUUCGAUUCCUUCAAAAAUGGCCAAAGAUCAAAGUAGCAUCAUGUGUGGCUCACGUUUAAGGGAGUGGGUGGGUCUGAGAAAGUUCCGGUAGAUAUCAGAUCAAAGACGACCUUAUUGGCAGCCUCUGUACAAUGUGUCCCAUCCCAUAUCACUCUAGUAGAUGGUCUUUCACAUGAGCCCACAUAAAUUUCUUCACCAUCUAUGUUUAUAGUUUGCCCACAUACUACUCCUUGGGUAUAAUUGUAUUUCCCUCCAUAUCCACAACAAUUGAUUAGUGGAAGCUCAAAUCCUACAAUAUUGAUAAAGCUUUCAAUUUGUAACAUUCAUUUUAGGUAAGUUUGAGAAUAUGAAUUGGAAUAGUUUUGAUUUGUCUCACCGUAUUUCUCAAGAUUGCGAAAAUGAUCUAACUUAGGAGAGUAAAUAUCUACAUAUAUAAUUGCAGCGAGAGGAAGCUCCCGGCGGAGUUGAGCUAAUGCUUCCUUCAAUUUUUGGUUGAAAUAUUUUGCUACUUCAUUAUAUUAUGUUGCACAACCAUAAUGAUCUCUUUCAGCUUUUGGAAAAUUUGUCAAUAUAGCAGGGAGACAUCCAAUUGGUCAUGUGUUGUGUAUCCAAAAUGAUCUAGCCCUCAAAUCAUAUAUGAGCUUGAUCACCAUGUUUCAUUCAUUUAGAACGAUACGUUAAUAAAUCGGCUAACAAGAAAUUUUAGGUUGAGUAUUUAAAUAGUUAAUUUCAAAAAGUAAUGGUGUUAAUUACUCCUUAAAUUACUAAAAUUAAUUUUUGGAAAAUUAUAAAUAUGUUUUUUAAGUCUUUAAAUAUUUUGAAGAAUAAUGUUUUGUUCAUCCUUUAAAUAUACUUACACUAGGAGAAAUAUAAAAAGAAAAGAAUAAAUGAGAAACAUGAAGAAUAUUAGAAUAAUGUGAUAUAAAAAGAAGAGAGAGAGAAAGUGAGAAAGUGAUGAGUACUAUAAAUGACAUAUAAGAAAAAGUAAAGUGUGAUGAGUUAAUACUCCAUUAUAAAAAGACUAAUUUGCUUUUGGUUUAUAAAUAUAUCAGAAGAGUGUUGAACUACAUUGACAUUCUCUACGAAAGUCUUGAUUAUAUCCGGUACAGAAUGAUGAACUUCUUGUAUAGUUAUGUUGUCGUCAUAAAAACCAACACUGAUAUCAUUUUGUCCAAUAUCAAAUGUGUAUAAAGGUCUAGAAAAAUAUUCUUCUUUGGGCAUCAAUCUUGCAAACAAGCCACCUAAGGACAAAAAUUAGAAUAAAAUUCAAACAUGCAAAUCCUUGUUAUUAAUGAAGCUUAAAAUUACAAGCUAUAGUAGAAAUCAAUGACUAUAAAUUCUUGAGUGCUAACCUUGUUUUCUUAUGAAUUGUGAUAUGAAUAUGAAUUGCUGGAAUUGAAGGUAGUGAAGUCCAAGGAAGAAAGGACUAGAUCUACCCUUAGGUAUAACACUUGCAGGGACUCUAAUUGUUGAUGAUAAUGUUGCGAAGCUCGCACCGUGAGAGUAGUUGGAACCCAAAGAGUUAAGACACGCACUCGCACUGAGAUAUGGAAGUUCAAAAUUUUGUGCUGUAAUUAUGAAUCAAAGUUAGAUUUCAUAAAUUGUAGGUUUUAUCAAAGAAGAAAACUAGAGGAUAAGAAAUGAAAAGAAAACGGAUGUUUCAUGUACAUAUGGAAUUUCACAAUAUCAUUCUAACGACAAUUAAUUUUAAA